ensembl:snoRNA SNORA70 Small nucleolar RNA SNORA70
UUGCAGCCAGUGAAGCUGGCUGUGCCCUUUUCCCCGUGGGGGCCCCGUGUGGAUGGCUGCAAACAGCAGCCUCCUUCGUAGCAUGUGUACCCUGUUGCCUCUGUGGGUUGCCCUAGGGGAUCUUGGAGAAAGUC